rnacentral:rRNA from 1 species
GUAUCCCACCUGGGGAGUACGUUCGCAAGAAUGAAACUCAAAGGAAUUGACGGGGGCCCGCACAAGCGGUGGAGCAUGUGGUUUAAUUCGAUGAUACGCGAGGAACCUUACCAGGGCUUAAAUGUAGAUUGACAGAUUUGGAAACAGAUUUUUCUUCGGACAAUUUACAAGGUGCUGCAUGGUUGUCGUCAGCUCGUGCCGUGAGGUGUCAGGUUAAGUCCUAUAACGAGCGCAACCCCUAUUGUUAGUUACCAGCGCGUUAAGGCGGGGACUCUAGCAAGACUGCCGGUGCAAACCGUGAGGAAGGUGGGGAUGACGUCAAAUCAUCACGGCCCUUACGUCCUGGGCUACACACGUGCUACAAUGGCAAGUACAGAAAGCAGCUACCUGGCAACAGGAUGCGAAUCUCCAAAGCUUGUCUCAGUUCGGAUUGGAGUCUGCAACUCGACUCUAUGAAGCUGGAAUCGCUAGUAAUCGGAUAUCAGCCAUGAUCCGGUGAAUACGUUCCCGGGCCUUGUACACACCGCCCGUCAAGCCAUGGAAGCUGGGGGUACCUGAAGUCGGUGACCGC